GACGUAGGGCGCGAGCGUUGUCCGGAUUUAUUGGGCGUAAAGAGCUCGUAGGCGGUGUGUCACGUCGGCCGUGAAAACCUGCAGCUUAACUGUGGGCGUGCGGUCGAUACGGGCAUCACUGGAGUUCGGCAGGGGAGACUGGAAUUCCUGGUGUAGCGGUGAAAUGCGCAGAUAUCAGGAGGAACACCGGUGGCGAAGGCGGGUCUCUGGGCCGAUACUGACGCUGAGGAGCGAAAGCCAGGGGAGCAAACGGG
rnacentral:rRNA from 1 species